UACGGGGGGGGCAAGCGUUGUUCGGAAUUACUGGGCGUAAAGCGCGUGUAGGCUGCUCAGAAAGUCGGAUGUGAAAGCCCUGGGCUUAACCUAGGAAGUGCAUUCGAAACUUCUGAGCUUGAGUUCUGGAGAGGAAGGCGGAAUUCUCGGUGUAGAGGUGAAAUUCGUAGAUAUCGAGAGGAACACCGGUGGCGAAGGCGGCCUUCUGGACAGUGACUGACGCUGAGACGCGAAAGCGUGGGGAGCAAACAGG
rnacentral:rRNA from 1 species